rnacentral:rRNA from 1 species
GAUGAACGCCGGCGGCGUGCCUAAUACAUGCAAGUCGAGCGAACAGACGAGGAGCUUGCUCCUCUGACGUUAGCGGCGGACGGGUGAGUAACACGUGGAUAACCUACCUAUAAGACUGGGAUAACUUCGGGAAACCGGAGCUAAUACCGGAUAAUAUAUUGAACCGCAUGGUUCAAUAGUGAAAGACGGUUUUGCUGUCACUUAUAGAUGGAUCCGCGCCGCAUUAGCUAGUUGGUAAGGUAACGGCUUACCAAGGCAACGAUGCGUAGCCGACCUGAGAGGGUGAUCGGCCACACUGGAACUGAGACACGGUCCAGACUCCCACGGGAGGCAGCAGUAGGGAAUCUUCCGCAAUGGGCGAAAGCCUGACGGAGCAACGCCGCGUGAGUGAUGAAGGUCUUCGGAUCGUAAAACUCUGUUAUUAGGGAAGAACAAAUGUGUAAGUAACUAUGCACGUCUUGACGGUACCUAAUCAGAAAGCCACGGCUAACUACGUG